AAGACCUUGCGCUUUUGGAGCGGCCGAUGUCUGAUUAGCUAGUUGGUAGGGUAAUGGCCUACCAAAGCUUCGAUCAGUAGCUGGUCUGAGAGGACGGCCAGCCACACUGGGACUGAGACACGGCCCAGACUCCUACGGGAGGCAGCAGUGGGGAAUUUUGGACAAUGGGGGCAACCCUGAUCCAGCCAUGCCGCGUGAGUGAAGAAGGCCUUCGGGUUGUAAAGCUCUUUCAGCCGGAACGAAACGGUUACGGUUAAUACCUGUGAUUACUGACGGUACCGGAAGAAGAAGCACCGGCUAACUACGUGCCAGCAGCCGCGGUAAUACGUAGGGUGCGAGCGUUAAUCGGAAUUACUGGGCGUAAAGCGUGCGCAGGUGGUUUUGUAAGUCAGAUGUGAAAGCCCCGGGCUCAACCUGGGAACU
rnacentral:rRNA from 1 species